GGAGUUCCCAAUCCCGCCGCGGGAGAACACCUGAGACCACGCUAGUCUUCGCCCCCGUGCCGCUCCUCGUCGCUGGUCAGGACCCCGGCGGCCUGGCCCUCCCGAGCUCCGCCCCCUAGCCUCCCUGCUACAUCGCGAGUCGCCGGUCCAUUUUCCUUUGGUUAUAGGAGCAACCCUACGCAGGUUCUACAGGGAAGCACGGGGGAAGCUCACUUCCGUUUUGCUCUGUUUCUCUUUUAUUUCUUCAGGAUCUUGGACAGUUCUUUCUUUUAGAAAAUCUGCUCUCUAUUUUGUUACAGGGAAGCACGGGGGAAGCUCACUUCCGUUUUGCUGCCACGCCAUCACCCGGCGACCUCCUUCCAUGGUUGCCACGCCCACCCGCUACAAGCCCCCUCACUCUCUCCCAUGGUCUACCUCGCGCCAUCCAUGGGAGUUCAUAGAUCGUGGCUGUGGGAGUCCAUCGGCGCCGCCCCGUGCUUCCCCCUGAGUGUAGCAGCGGCCUCCCCAAAAUUCGUCGAGCGUGGGAGUGCUCUGACCAGAAACCCUGGAUUCCCCUCCUCGGUGGCCACAUGGUCGGUCCCUGAUUAAGCAUUCUCGCCGGCAUCACUGGGUUCUGCGGUUGCAUCGUUGAGCUCAACUUACCAUCGUCCCUGAUUUCGGGGGAGCACCAGGCCAUUCUCCUGGCUGUUGGAGUACAUAAAAGUUCAGAUGUGAGAACCCCCAACAUCCAAGUGAUGCCCGUUUUCCUCUACAUCUCAAUCAGAGAAGUUCUAUUUGUACACAUGUGAAGUCCAUCUUUCCCUGAAGCUGCUAAAUCCAAUCCCCGGUGUAAGGGAAGUGCAUCUCUGUGUUUGUUGCCUACUCUAUUACAGUUUAGCAAAUUUAAUUGGCUACUAAAAGAGAGUAAAAUCAGUGAAGAUCUACUGCUAUGUAUUUUUUUGCUUUGAUUGAUUUGCUGGUUGGUUGGUAGUUGGUAAAAAAUUGUAGUAAGCAUCAAGAUAAUUCAGAAGUUCCGAACUUUUAAAAAAGUGAAGUCCAGUCCGUCGCAUGCUAGAAGUUCAUCUUGUGUUUGUCAUCUAGUAGUGUGCAUGGCUGAACUAUCUUUAUUCUACUAGCUGUCCUGAUAUUCUGUAUUCACAAGCUAUAGGAUGUCAUGUUGGUGUGCCAAUUUAUCUAUUAUUACAUUAUUCCUCGGGGAUGUAUGAUUCUUGUAUAUGCAAUAGUUUUAUCUUAUGAUGAUGCAAUAGUUUUUAUAAUGCAGGAACAGAUGUUGUCUUCAGCGGGAACAGUUCGCCUGCAUAUAAGUUCACUUCUUAUCUUGAUACAUUGACAUUGGUGCAGUUCACUGUAAGCCAUUGUGCGGUUCAGUUGGUUGCUGUUUGUCAAAGGGGACUUUGCUUUGUCUGAAGGCGAAGUUCAGUUUUCUUUGCGGAACAGUUCGUUUCAUAAUCAACAAGCUAUAUAUUGAUCAGAUAUUUAUUUAUUUAUCAGAACAGAAGAUGCACGGAGCCAAGUUGCUGCUCUGAAGAUUGGCGAGAAUUACCCAUAUGCUUGACAAUGUGCAAAACCUAGCACACCCCAAAAAAGAUGAGAUUGAUAGGUUUAUCCAUGAAAAUCCGUUCAGGAGUUCACAUUAAACGUCAUACAAGUUCGCCUUGAACAUGUCGCAAUUCUUUUUGUCAGGGAGUUCACUACAAACAUGCCUGAAGUUCCUGUUGUACGGCUCCGAAAUUCAUUUUAUUUUAUUUUGAAAAGGUGGCUGAUCAAAAAUUCCCUUAGCGUGACAUGAAGUAUAACUUAUGAAUGCCUCUAGAGAUUCAUUUUUCUCUAUCUGAGAGUUUACUCUAUUUUGUAACGAAUUCACUCUAAUAUGAGGAGUUGACAUGUAUUAUGGUAGGAGUUCACUUUGUGAUU